rnacentral:tRNA from 3 species
GUUUAUUUGGUGGAAUUUGGUAGACACGAUAGACUUAAAAUCUAUUUCAUUUAAUGAGUACAAGUUCAAGUCUUGUAAUAAACA